CCUCUUAACCCCUUCCCUCCCGGCACCAGCCACGGGCACCUCCAGUGCUUCCCACCCUCUCCAAACCACCUUGCUUCUCCUACCUGCCUGUUCUCGUUUCCAGAGGAACAAACAGAACUGCUCUCCGGUCCACACAGCAGGACCAGCCUGGUCCAGCGGACCCUGCCCAAAGCUGGAGCAGGAGGACAGAAUCUCCGAGCAAGGCAAUGGGACAAGGGCAGCUUGGAGACACGUGGCUCAGGGAGCACCAGGUUGGAAGCCGGAGCAGUGCGGCUGCAGGACCUCUCCCUCCUUCCACACCCCCUGCCACCACUCCAGACAAACAGACCAUGGUGACCUAGGCCUGCCCGUAGCUGGGCCCAACAGGCAAGUGCUCUGAGUUGUGCGGUCUAAUUUCAAACCCAGAUUGUCAAAAAUAAACCCCUCUCACCCACUUCCUUCCUGUAAUGUCUAAAUAAAGGCCCUGGGGUUUUCAA